GAUCCGGGCGGGGCCCCGCCGGGUCCGCGUGCCGCCUGUCGGGGGACGCCGGUGGGGGCGUGCUGGCCGCCGUUGGCGUGGGUGUGGCGGGGUGGUCCGCGCUCCCCGCUGGGGUGCGGGGCUGGGCUGGUAGAGCUUCCAUCUGCGGGUGCCGUUUCCGCGCGCCGGCUAGCGGUGGCCAACGUGCUCCCCUCCCUGGCCUUCCGUGCCCCGUGCGGCCUUCUCCCUGAGCGCCGCCUGCCCUGCUCGGAUAAAAUGGGAGCGCGUGCUGGCCUCCAUGGUGUUUGUUUUGUCUUGCUGUUUUAAAAUUACAUCAAAAUGCCAAUAAGACCAGAUCUCCAGUUGGAAAAAUGCAUUGAUGAUGCUUUAAGAAAAAAUGAUUUCAAACCUUUAAAAACACUUUUACAAAUUGGUGUUUGUGAAGAUGUAAAGAUUAAAUGCAGCAAGCAAUUUUUACACAAGUUGGAUGACCUUGUAUG